UCUGGGUAAGUCGGGGCCUAAGGCGAGGUCGAAAGACGUAGUCGAUGGAUAACAGGUUGAAAUUCCCGUACUAUCCUGUAACAGAACUGUGGGGACACAGGCAGAGAGCGUGAGCCGGGAAUGGAAAGACCGGUACAAGCGAGGUAGGAGAAGAGUUGGCAAAUCCGCUCUUCAAUCUGAAGACGUGAUGUGGACUGAAAAUAAGUAGGGAAGCACGUGAGCUGACUGUCAAGAAAAGCCGCUAUUGUUUGCAGGAUACCCGUACCGUAAACCGACACAGGUGGAUGAGGAGAGAAUCCUAAGGCCGACGGGAGAAGCAUUGUUAAGGAACUCGGCAAAAUGACUCCGUAACUUCGGGAGAAGGAGUGCCAGUAAGAUGGCCGCUGAGAAUUGGCCCAAGCAACUGUUUAGCAAAAACACAGGUCUAUGCAAAACCGAAAGGUGAGGUAUAUGGGCUGACGCCUGCCCGGUGCUGGAAGGUUAAGGGGAGAGGUUAGCGCAAGCGAAGCUUUGAACUUAAGCCCCAGUAAACGGCGGCCGUAACAAUAACGGUCCUAAGGUAGCGAAAUUCCUUGUCGGGUAAGUUCCGACCCGCACGAAAGGCGUAAUGAUUUGGGCACUGUCUCAACAAUGCACCCGGUGAAAUUGAAAUACCAGUGAAGAUGCUGGUUACCUGCGCCAGGACGGAAAGACCCCAUGGAGCUUUACUCCAGCUUGAUACUGGGAUUCGGUAUUGCAUGUACAGGAUAGGUGGGAGGCUAGGAAAUGGUAACGCCAGUUGCCAUGGAGCCAAUGUUGGGAUACCACCCUUGCAGUACUGGGUUUCUAACCAGCAGCCGUGAUCCGGCUGGGGGACAAUGUCAGGUGGGGAGUUUGACUGGGGCGGUCGCCUCCGAAAGGGUAUCGGAGGCGCUCAAAGGUUCCCUCAGAAUGGUUGGAAACCAUUCGAAGAGUGCAAAGGCAGAAGGGAGCUUGACUGCGACACCGACGGGUGGAGCAGGUACGAAAGUAGGACUUAGUGAUCCGGUGGUAUAAAGUGGGAUUGCCAUCGCUCAACGGAUAAAAGCUACCCUGGGAUAACAGGCUUAUCACUCCCAAGAGUUCACAUCGACGGAGUGGUUUGGCACCUCGAUGUCGGCUCAUCGCAUCCUGGGGCUGAAGUAGGUCCCAAGGGUUGGGCUGUUCGCCCAUUAAAGCGGUACGCGAGCUGGGUUCAGAACGUCGUGAGACAGUUCGGUCCCUAUCCGGCGUGGGCGUAAGAUAUUUGAGAGGAGCUGUCCUUAGUACGAGAGGACCGGGAUGGACUGGCCGCUGGUGUAUCUGUUGUCUUACCAAAGGCAUAGCAGAGUAGCCAAGCCGGGAAGGGAUAAACGCUGAAGGCAUCUAAGCGUGAAGCCCCCCUCAAGAUGAGAUAUCUCAUAACGUCAAGUUAGUAAGACCCCUUGAAGACGACGAGGUAGAUAGGGCAGAAGUGGAAGUGUGGUAACACAUGGAGCUGACUGUUACUAAUAGGUCGAGGGCAUAACC
rnacentral:rRNA from 1 species